UACGUAGGGUGCAAGCGUUGUCCGGAAUUAUUGGGCGUAAAGAGCUCGUAGGCGGUUUGUUGCGUCGGCUGUGAAAUCCCGAGGCUCAACCUCGGGUCUGCAGUCGAUACGAGCAAACUAGAGUGUUGCAGGGGAGACUGGAAUUCCUGGUGUAGCGGUGAAAUGCGCAGGAUAUCAGGAGGAACACCCGUGGCGAAGGCGGCUCUCUGGGACGGUACUGACGCUGAGACGCGAAAAGCGUGGGGAGCGAACAGG
rnacentral:rRNA from 1 species